UAAGCCGUUGAAGGUGUCCUGUGAGGGGUGCUGGAGGUAUCAGAAGUGCGAAUGCUGACAUAAGUAACGAUAAAGCGGGUGAAAAGCCCGCUCGCCGGAAGACCAAGGGUUCCUGUCCAACGUUAAUCGGGGCAGGGUGAGUCGACCCCUAAGGCGAGGCCGAAAGGCGUAGUCGAUGGGAAACGGGUUAAUAUUCCCGUACUUGGUGUUACUGCGAAGGGGGGACGGAGAAGGCUAUGUUGGCCGGGCGACGGUAGUCCCGGUUUAAGCGUGUAGGUGUGUGUUCCAGGUAAAUCCGGUUCACUUUAACACUGAGGCGUGAUGACGAGGCACCACGGUGCUGAAGCAACAAAUGCCCUGCUUCCAGGAAAAGCCUCUAAGCAUCAGGUAACAUCAAAUCGUACCCCAAACCGACACAGGUGGUCAGGUAGAGAAUACCAAGGCGCUUGAGAGAACUCGGGUGAAGGAACUAGGCAAAAUGGUGCCGUAACUUCGGGAGAAGGCACGCUGACACGUAGGUGAAGUGAUUUACUCA
rnacentral:rRNA from 1 species